rnacentral:rRNA from 1 species
AUUGAACGCUGGCGGCAGGCCUAACACAUGCAAGUCGAACGAGUGGCGGACGGGUGAGUAAUGUCUGGGAAACUGCCUGAUGGAGGGGGAUAACUACUGGAAACGGUAGCUAAUACCGCAUACCAUCAGAUGUGCCCAGAUGGGAUUAGCUAGUUGGUGGGGAAACGGCUCACCAAGGCGACGAUCCCUAGCUGGUCUGAGAGGAUGACCAGCAAAACGGGAACUGAGAAAGGGUCCAGCUCCCUACGGGAGGAGGAAGUGGGGAAUAUUGAACAAGGGGCGCAGGCCUGAGGCAGCCAGGCGGGUGGAAUGAAGAAGGCCUUCGGGUUGUAAAGUAUUUUCAGCGGGGAGACGUUACCCGCAGAAGAAGCACCGGUAAACUCCGGGCCAGCAGCCGCGGUAAUU